CUCGGACCCAUGAAGGCCUGCACUGAAGACAGGUCACUGUUGGUGCAGGCUGGAUGCUUCUCCGGC
rfam:Picoides pubescens contig58236, whole genome shotgun sequence.